rnacentral:rRNA from 1 species
CGUUCUCGGGUCUUGUACACACCGCCCGUCAAGUGAGCCGAGUUGGGGGUAGCUGAACCUCGAUGUAUGUUGGGGGAAGCUAAAUUCAGCGAGGAGCGCU